rnacentral:rRNA from 1 species
AUUGAACGCUGGCGGCAGGCCUAACACAUGCAAGUCGAACGAGUGGCGGACGGGUGAGUCAUGUCUGGGACACUGCCUGAUGGAGGGGGAUAACUACUGGAACCGGUAGCUAAUCCCGCAUACCAUCAGCUGUGCCCAGAUGGGAUUAGCUUGUUGGGGGGGUAACGGCUCACCAAGGCGACGAUCCCUAGCUGGUCUGAGAGGAGGACCGGCAACACUGGAACUGAGACACGGUCAAGACCCCUCCGGGAGGCAGCAGUGGGGAAUAUUGGACAAGGGGCGCAAGCCUGAUGCAGACAGGCCGCGUGUAUGAAGAAGGCCUUCGGGUUGUAAAGUACUUUCAGCGGGGAGGCGGUACCCGCAGAAGAAGCACCGGCUAACUCCGUGCCAGCAGCCGCGGUAAUUC